CCAUGUGGUCAUAGCUCCUUGUCAAUUCUCGAUCUUGUCUGAUUGGGGAAGCUAAGCAGGAUUGGCCUGGUUAGUACAUGGCUGAGAGACCACAAGGAAUACCAAGUGCCACAGUGG
rnacentral:rRNA from 1 species